GCGUCCAGCCGGCCUCCGGGCACGCCGCGGCGUUAGCCCGGCCGCGAGGGGAAAGCCUCGGGGCAAAAUAAGUCACCAAGCGGUGACGCAGCCUGUGAGGCUUCGCAGGAAGCCCCUGUACCAGCGCUUCUGCACAGACAGUGCCCAGGCAGGAUUUUUCCACAUGGGAACAUGCCACGUUUUACCAUAGCUCCUCUCAAAGGAUGUCAACAACAGAAGGAGAGGCCAGGCCUCCGUGUCUCCUGGAAGUACAGUUGUCUAACCAGAGCAGUGGAAAAGAGGUUAAGAGGCUGCAGCCAUCAAGGAGAAAGAGUGACCCUGGGAUACAAGCACUUCCAGAAGCUCAAUGUAGAGAUGCAUGUUUUAUCAUCCAGUAAUUUGGAGAAAAGGCCUUUCAUCUGUACUGAAAAUUCCUGUGCAACCCAGCCCACCCAGACACACACAUCAAUGGGUACAGACCAAGACACUGCAGAAAGUUCUGUACCUGCUCUUCUUUUGGCCUCAUUUUACAGAAGAGUACUUGAGUCACGGUGA
rnacentral:lncRNA from 1 species